UGGCGGACGGGUGAGUAAUGUCUGGGAAACUGCCUGAUGGAGGGGGGUAACUACUGGAAACGGUAGCUAAUACCGCAUAACGUCGCAAGGCCAAAGAGGGGGACCUUAGGGCCUCUUGCCAUCGGAUGUGCCCAGAUGGGAUUAGCUAGUAGGUGGGGUAACGGCUCACCUAGGCGACGAUCCCUAGCUGGUCUGAGAGGAUGACCAGCCACACUGGAACUGAGACACGGUCCAG
rnacentral:rRNA from 1 species